GGUUAGGGAAGAGUGCAGGGGCCCAAACGGUUGGUGGGUUGGACUAGCAGUCAGACUAGCAGGAAGUGGAGGUCGGGAGUCGGACUAGCAGGAAGUGGAGGUCAGACUAGCAGGAAGUGGAGGUCGGGGUACAGACUAGCAGGAAGUGGAGGUCGGGGUCAGACUAGCAGGAAGUGGAGGUCAGACUAGCAGGAAGUGGGGUCGGACUAGCAGGAGGUGGAGGUCGGGAGUCGGACUAGCAGGAAGUGGAGGUCGGGGGUCGGACUAGCAGGAAGUGGAGGUCAGACUAGCAGGAAGUGGAGGUCGGGGGUUGGACUAGCAGGAGGUGGAAGUCGGGGGUCGGACUAGCAGGAAGUGGAGGUCGGGGGUCAGACUAGAAGGAAGUGGAGGUCAGACUAGCAGGAAGUGGAAGUCGGGGGUCAGACUAGCAGGAGGUGGAGGUCAGACUAGCAGGAAGUGGAGGUCGGGAGUUGGACUAGCAGGAAGUGGAGGUCGGGGGUCGGACUAGCAGGAAGUGGAGGUCAGACUAGCAGGAGGUGGGGUCGGAGGUCAGACUAGCAGGAAGUGG
rnacentral:lncRNA from 1 species